GACGAACGCUGGCGGCGUGGAUUAGGCAUGCAAGUCGAACGGUAGGAUACCUUCGGGUAUCUGAGAGUGGCGAACGGGUGAGUAACACGUAGGUGAUCUACCCUCAAGAUUGGGACAACCCAGGGAAACUUGGGCUAAUACCGGAUGAAAGCAGCAGCGAUGUUGUUUGAAAGGUGGCGUAAGCUGCCGUUUGGGGAUGAGCCUGCGCUCUAUUAGUUAGUUGGCGGGGUAAAGGCCCACCAAGGCGAUGAUAGAUAGGCGGCCUUAACGGGUGGUCGCCCACACUGGGAUUGAGAUACGGCCCAGACUCCUACGGGAGGCAGCAGUCGAGAAUAGUCUACAAUGGCCGAAAGGCUGAUAGUGCGACGCCGCGUGAACGAAGAAGCCCUUCGGGGUGUAAAGUUCUUUUAUAUGUGAGCAGUGCUUCUUAUAUUAACAGUAUGGGGAAGAGAUAUUAGCAUAUGAAUAAGCAACGGCUAACUCCGUGCCAGCAGCCGAC
rnacentral:rRNA from 1 species